AUGCUCACUUCGGCAGCACAUAUACUAAAAUUGGAAGCAUUCAGAGAAGAUUAGCAUGGCCCUGUGCCAGGAUGACAUGCAAACUUGUGAAUCAUUCCAUAUUUGU